CACUUUGUGUGCCAUUGACAUUUUUGGGGUGUGUUUGGUUUACACUCCUUGGCACAUUGAGAGACACAUUGAGACAAAGGAGAGUUCCCCUCUUCUGCCACCUCCCUCUUUUCCCUCUUCCCCCACCCCUCACCCCCUUCCCUCUCUCUCACACACACACACACACCACAUUCAUUCAGAGCCCAGUUUGGAGUCUAAUCACUUCCUCACACACUCACAUUAUCUCUUUCUGGAGCAACAUGCACAGGCUAACCCACUACCGCCUUCUCUUUGUCUGCUUGACUGGAGUGCUGCUGUUGCUACCUCUCUGCUGCGGCCAAACUGUAUAUUAUGACUACGGUGACGCAACACCGACACCGGACUACGACUACAACGCCACCUUUGAAUACGUCUUUUUCAGCAACGCUAGUACUGAGGACCUGGACAAGUUUCUAAGAGCAAGUGAAGAGGAGUUUUAUGAGGGGGAAGAGGAAGACACGACCUUCUCGACCACUAUGUCGACCACUAUGUCGACCACUAUGUCGACCACAGACAGCAGCAUAGCGAAGGUAUCCCAUCAUGUUGCUGCAGUCGUUUGUGUCUGAUGAGGCUCCUUUUUAUCUCCCAGACACUGUAACAGUGCCUGUUCUUCUCAAAUGGUCUAUUGUGUAUAAAGUUCACCUUUGAGGAAUAUAUCUUUUAAGAUGGAGGCUUAAACCAAAACCACAUUCCUCUGUCCUGAGAACACCAUGUAACGCUGACCUUCUGUUCCAAGCUUGUGGAAGUUUACUUGUGUUUUGCGUGGGUGUGUGGAUUACUCAGAGACAAACCAACACUGGAGAGAUUUAAGACAGAUGGGUUUAUUUGGAACAAUAAAUGUACUAGGAAUCAGAGCAAUUUUGGAGCCACUUCUCCUGCUGCUACUUCCACUACAGUUGGCUCCAGGACAGCUCCUCCAUGUUUGCUGCUUGCCCUGGGCUUGACCGUGCACCAGCUGGGCCAACUCCUAUGAGAGAUAUCCAUGAGUCUAAGCAUGAAGGGGAAGCGCGAGAAAGACCGGCGGGACAGGGCUCAACACUCACCGGCAGUGACUCUUGGACUCCUGUGAACUCAAACUUUAUUAUGCAAAGAACCCCUUCAGUCUUUGACUGCUCCCCCGUAGGACCUGAAGCCCAAACCAGGGACUCAAACCACUGCUCCCAUUGGAUAUGAUGUUACUACAACAUCACCCAUAGUAUUCUAUAGCAAUGGAGAGACGAAAACCACUGCACACUGUAGGAUAAAUUACUACACAAUUGUGUUUUUAUGCGCUAUAACACACGCAACCCUGCUUAUGUAGCAAACGCCACCACCGCACAAUAUUGAUAUGCAUUCCGUGUUGCAUCAUUCAGGGAGGUAGCUGAUCUGUAAGGUUGGUUCAGGCACCAUUAGGCUGAUGGAAAGAAAUGCCCAAUGACGAUUUAUUAAAGGGUAGAAGGUCCUAAAUGUGAAAGUAGGCCAGGUUAAUGAGAGGACUUCAAUUUGUUUCUCAAAAAGUAGAUCCAAUACCACAGAAAGACAUGACCGGUUACGUGCUUUGUCCAUCGGGGAGGUCAAUCUUAUUAAUCUUCUGUUUUGGAACUACUUUGAGUCAUGUGGAUUUUUAUUGAGAGAAUUCGUCGUUCUGUCAAUGAAAAGCUCCGAAAAAACUGGUUUGAAAAUAUUGUGAACCUGUCGAUACCAAUAGCACAAAUAUAUCUGAUGUUCCGUUUCACACGUGUUCAUUCCAAGCUCCGUUACUUCCUGUGUGUCGCAUUUACCCUGGUUCCUCUCGUUAUACACAAACACGGCACAGCAUCCUUUUAAUCUAAGCCAUGCUGUUUAUUGACUUUGAGCAAAUACACAGGCACUUUCCUUUGGCACUUCUGCAUCACCAGUCACCUCCUCAAAAGGGCAGGUAACCCUCUGCAGCAUACCAGUAUUUACCAUGUGUUUUAGACCAUUUUUAUAAGUGUUUUAUGAAUAUUUUAUAGACGUGUAUAAAUGAACUCUACAGAGGGGAUCAUACCGACUACUCAAAUGCACACAAGGUUAAUCAUGUCAACUGAUGAAUGUUAUUGUCAGUGUAGUGUAUGCAUUUAUACAUAUUGCUUAUGUUUCAUAACAAGUCCAAUGAGUAUAUCCUCUGGCGUGUUGAUGUUGAUGUUCUCCGUAUCCACAGCCAGAAUGAUUUUGCAGUGCAUGGUGAUCAAACAUGUUUCCUGUUAUAUUCAUCAGAGGUGUAGGGAGGGUGAAGUCUGUGAAUCCAAUUUUUUAUUAUACAGAUGUUUAAUUAAACAUGUACACGACAGUACUCAUACCUUGGUUUUUGUGGUAAAUGGGAAUUUAAAAGAACUGUUUUGAUAAUGGUUUUCAUACACAUACCUUGUCUAUAAUGUAGAGGCCUAUGGGAUAUUCAUUGAAGAGGAAAGGGAGGAGGAUGGUGCAUGUGAUCUGCAUAACAUACCAAUACCAAUUAACAUACCUUUUUAUGCCUCGUUAUCUGUAUACCUGCAGACAGACACAAAAGGGAGCAGAUCAGUCAUCUGCACCCAAUACAGCUAGCCUUCAACAUAUUCUUACAGCCUAC
rnacentral:lncRNA from 1 species